UAGGACCCUAAAAAGAAAGUCAGAAAAAGGGGUCCUAUUUCACCGGGUCCUAUUUCUCCAUGGCCUUUUUUUGGGUCCUAUUUCUCCGGGUCCUAUUUGUCUGGGUCCUAUUUCUCCGGCUACCGUGUCGAGUCGUGAUUGUGCCCAAGACCCAUGGGGUAAACGUGCUGCAAAAGCAUUUCUCUAAUAGGCAACUAAAGAUCCGCAUGAGGCUAUGUCAAUUUGCCUUACUGCCAGAACCUUACGGCUCACCAGUCCCAAGAAUAUAUUCCGCUAUUGUUACAUCUAAUUCUGUUACACGUUAUUUUCUUUUGAAAUUGAUAACACAUUUACUGCUCAAUGAGUUUUGAAGAAGGAUGGUGUUUGGCUAUUCGAUGUGGCAUCUGAUUUUCAAUGACAAAUAAACAACAGUGGCUGUUUGUUUAAAUUAAA